GAUGAACGCUGGCGGCGUGCCUAAUACAUGCAAGUCGAGCGAACAGACGAGGAGCUUGCUCCUCUGACGUUAGCGGCGGACGGGUGAGUAACACGUGGAUAACCUACCUAUAAGACUGGGAUAACUUCGGGAAACCGGAGCUAAUACCGGAUAAUAUAUUGAACCGCAUGGUUCAAUAGUGAAAGACGGUUUUGCUGUCACUUAUAGAUGGAUCCGCGCCGCAUUAGCUAGUUGGUAAGGUAACGGCUUACCAAGGCAACGAUGCGUAGCCGACCUGAGAGGGUGAUCGGCCACACUGGAACUGAGACACGGUCCAGACUCCUACGGGAGGCAGCAGUAGGGAAUCUUCCGCAAUGGGCGAAAGCCUGACGGAGCAACGCCGCGUGAGUGAUGAAGGUCUUCGGAUCGGAAACUCUGUUAUUAGGGAAGAACAAAUGUGUAAGUAACUAUGCACGUCUUGACGGUACCUAAGCAGAAAGCCACGGCUAACUACGU
rnacentral:rRNA from 1 species